CAGUCGCCGCGGGAAAACGAAGGGGGCUAGCGUUGUUCGGAUUUACUGGGCGUAAAGGGCGCGUAGGCGGGCGAUUAAGUCAGAGGUGAAAUCCCAAGGCUCAACCUUGGAACUGCCUUUGAUACUGGUUGUCUUGAGUCCGGGAGAGGUGAGUGGAACUGCGAGUGUAGAGGUGAAAUUCGUAGAUAUUCGCAAGAACACCAGUGGCGAAGGCGGCUCACUGGCCCGGAACUGACGCUGAGGCGCGAAAGCGUGGGGAGCAAACAGGAUUAGAUACCCCUGUAGUCCCUGUCUCUUAUCC
rnacentral:rRNA from 1 species